GAUAAUGAUGAUAACUGUAAAAACAGUUUCUAUAAUAGCUGCAGCUGCAGCUAUUACAGUUAUUAACAAUGGAAAGGGAUCUCCAACAAACUUCAACGUAAAUGUUGGAACAAACAAUGUAAUUAUAUACAAAGAAAGUGAAAAACAAAAACCACAAAAUAAGGGACUGAAUUGACAAAGAAA